rnacentral:rRNA from 1 species
GCCUACCAUGGUUUUAACGGGUAACGGGGAAUUAGGGUUCGAUUCCGGAGAGGGAGCCUGAGAAACGGCUACCACAUCCAAGGAAGGCAGCAGGCGCGCAAAUUACCCAAUCCCGAUACGGGGAGGUAGUGACAAUAAAUAACAAUACAGGGCCCUUAUGGGUCUUGUAAUUGGAAUGAGUACAAUUUAAAUCUCUUAACGAGGAACAAUUGGAGGGCAAGUCUGGUGCCAGCAGCCGCGGUAAUUCCAGCUCCAAUAGCGUAUAUUAAAGUUGUUGCAGUUAAAAAGCUCGUAGUUGAAUUUCGAAAUUUUUUUAUCGGUUGAAUCAACAGGUUCGUACUGAUUUUAAGAAUUUCUACCUUCUGGAGAACCUUAAUGUCAUUUAUUUGAUGUUUUGGGAAACCAGGACUGUUACCUUGAAAAAAUUAGAGUGUUUAAAGCAGGCUUAUGUCUGAAUAUAUUAGCAUGGAAUAAUGAAAUAGGACGGCAUGGUUCUAUUUUGUUGGUUUCUAGGAUCACCGUAAUGAUUAAUAGGGAUAGUUGGGGGCAUUAGUAUUCAAUUGUCAGAGGUGAAAUUCUUGGAUUUAUUGAAGACUAACUUCUGCGAAAGCAUUUGCCAAGGAUGUUUUCAUUAAUCAAGAACGAAAGUUAGGGGAUCGAAGACGAUCAGAUACCGUCGUAGUCUUAACCAUAAACUAUGCCGACUAGGAAUCGGACGAAGUUAAUUUUUUAAUGACUCGUUCGGCGCCUUACG